AUGAACGCUGGCGGCGUGCCUAAUACAUGCAAGCCGAGCGAACGGACGAGAAGCUUGCUUCUCUGAUGUUAGCGGCGGACGGGUGAGUAACACGUGGAUAACCUACCUAUAAGACUGGGAUAACUUCGGGAAACCGGAGCUAAUACCGGAUAAUAUUUUGAACCGCAUGGUUCAAAAGUGAAAGACGGUCUUGCUGUCACUUAUAGAUGGAUCCGCGCUGCAUUAGCUAGUUGGUAAGGUAACGGCUUACCAAGGCAACGAUGCAUAGCCGACCUGAGAGGGUGAUCGGCCACACUGGAACUGAGACACGGUCCAGACUCCUACGGGAGGCAGCAGUAGGGAAUCUUCCGCAAUGGGCGAAAGCCUGACGGAGCAACGCCGCGUGAGUGAUGAAGGUCUUCGGAUCGUAAAACUCUGUUAUUAGGGAAGAACAUAUGUGUAAGUAACUGUGCACAUCUUGACGGUACCUAAUCAAAAAGCCACGGCUAACUACGUG
rnacentral:rRNA from 1 species